rnacentral:rRNA from 1 species
AUUGAACGCUGGCGGAAUGCUUUACACAUGCAAGUCGAGCGGCAGCACGGGGGCAACCCUGGUGGCGAGCGGCGAACGGGUGAGUAACACAUCGGAACAUGCCCAGUCGUGGGGGAUAACACUUCGAAAGAAGUGCUAAUACCGCAUACGUCCUGAGGGAGAAAGCGGGGGAUCUUCGGACCUCGCCCGAGUGGAGUGGCCGAUGGCAGAUUAGCUAGUUGGUGGGGUAAAGGCCUACCAGGGCAACGAUCUGUAGGUGGUCUGAGAGGAUGAUCAGCCACACUGGGACUGAGACACGGCCCAGACUCCUACGGGAGGCAGCAGUGGGGAAUUUUGGACAAUGGGGGCAACCCUGAUCCAGCCAUUCCGCGUGAGUGAAGAAGGCCUUCGGGUUGUAAAGCUCUUUCGGCAGGAACGAAACGGCGAGCUCUAACAUAGCUUCUAAUGACGGUACCUGAAGAAGAAGCACCGGCUAACUACGUGCCAGCAGCCGCCGUAACAC